GCCUGUUUUCUUACCUGCAAAAUGUGAGGCAAUGAGAAUGCUAACCUCACAGAAUUGCUAUGAGAGCUACCGUUCAUUGAGGGAUUACCAAGUACCGGGUGCUGGCUAACAACUUCUAGUCAUUGUCUUUGUUUUUUACAACUUUGUGAAGUAUUACUGUUGGAAGAUGCAAUGAGGUAAUGCAGGUAAAGCGAUCAGCAUAGUGCCAGCACAUAACAAUGUGAACUACUUUUAUUAUUAUUACUAAUACUUUGUGGGGUAGUCCCCAGCAAACUGCACAAUUCACAGCCUUUUCCAGCCUAUGAAUCGGGAUAUCUCUUCCUAGCUGGCAGAAUCAUCCUGAUGCUUGGAGAUUUCCACUUAAGAGGAACACGCACUACCAGCUUCAUCGUCAGGACCCAGGUGGGCAAGUUGACGGUGGUCAGGCUGCAGCAGACACUUUUAGUUGCAUGUAAAUUAUCUAGGUGCCCUUUCCUAAUUAGAGAAGAAAGUGAGUUUCUGCUAUUUUAAAAAUUCUUCCCUGUAUGGGAAUUUUUCUUUCAUGCUAUAUUCUCCUCUUGGUGUCUUGUCUAAUUUUCCUUUUCUCCCCCCAUCUAUUGUUCAACUGAGGUGUGAAAGAAGUUGAAAUCCACCUGUAAACCCGGGGGUGCCACAUCCCUUCAUUUAUUCACUCACUGAUUCACUCAACAAACAUUCACUGAGGAUUACUCUGUAAAUGGCCACGUACUGGGUGCUGAGGACAAAAAAGGUGAAGGCCACUGCCAUUCAUGUGGCUACACUGUUCUGUCCCCUUUCGGUCCCUGCCCUUGAAAGUUCCCAAUUCUUGCUGACCUCCUGGAAAAGCCUAGAGAAAUACCAUCAAAUAACGGAGAGAUAAUUUCCCUUCAAGACUUUCACUAGGUCAGUUGUUCUAACCUUUUUAGGAGGCAAAAGGAAUAGAGAGGGGGAGGCAGCCAGCCAGGAUUAUUUGCGGCAUUUUAGAUAGGAAAGCUGAGUUCCAGAGAGGGGAGGGAAGGCAAGAGAGGGAAAGGAACUCAAUUAUUUCAUAGAGUCAGGCCUUGUGCCUUUUUAUUCUCAUACAUGCCUUGUGAGGUGGGUAUUUUUAUCAUCAUUUUACAUGGGCAAAAACUGACACUUAGGUUAAGGAGCUCAUCCAAGUCACCCAAUCUAUAGGUGGCAGAGCUGGGCUUAAAACACAGGUGUGAUCUUGGAACUAAGCUCUCAGCCUGCUGACUCAGCAACUACACUGCAGGUCAGUAGUGGAUUUGGGAACCUCCUGCUUCCCAGUCCUCUGCCUGGUCUUCUAGGCCAACAGUUUUACAACUUGGACACGCAUCAGAAUCACCUGGAGGGCCUGUGAAAACACAUAACGCUGAGCCAUACCCCCAGUUUCUGAUUCAGUAGGUCUAGGGUGGGGCUGAGAAUUUGCAUUUUUAACUAGUUCCCAGGUGAUGAUGAUGAUGAUGAUGGUCCACGGACCACAGUUUGAGAACACUGUUCUAGGUGUUCUCUUUCAAAAUAAUGACUCCCUCUCUUCCCCUUAACGACUCCAAAGGUAACAUAGGUUUGUAAAAUACAACAAAUAUAUAACAUGUAGAACCUACAGAAAAAUAGGAAGAAUGGAAUUCAUCCACAUUCUUCUGCUCAGAAAUAACCACUCUUAACAGUUUGGCACAUCUCCUCUGUCUUCUUUUCAGAGGCUAAGCACAGAGGAAGCGGGGUGGCCUAUGGCUGCUCGGCUAAGACCCGGUUAAGAUCCCAGUGCUUCCGUGAGACCUUGGGCAAGCCUGAACCAGGUCUGGGUCCCCUCUUCGGCAAAACUGCAUUUACACUCCCAUCCCGCAUUAGUUUGUUGGGAGGGUUUAAAGAAGAGCGUGUAUUUAUCAAGCACUCGACACAAUGUCAGAUGCGGAGUCAGCGCUCCAUAAAUGUUGGCUGUCAUUUUUGUUCUAACGUAAGAGAAAGCUGGAUGAUCCCAUCUGGGUUUCAGCCCCGUUUUCCCUCUUCACUCCUCCGGUGGGUCAGUGGGAGCUCUGCCGACCGCCUGGCUGCGGCCACUCACUGCUGGGACUGCGCAGCCUGCCCGCUCCCAGCAGCUGGCGGAGCCGCAGGACCCCCGCGCCGCCCGGGCCGCCGCCGUUAGGGUUGGCUCAAGCCUCUCGGCCCAGUCCGCCAGUUUUACAGCCCGAACUCAAAGAGGGCUUUUAACUUUUCAUUCAGCAGCAGCGUAGCUCCGACUUUUAAUAACACACCUCGUGCACGACAAAAAUUUGCUCCUGGCAAUCAUGGUUUCGACCACAAAACCACAGCGGGGAGGCGUUCCUGAUUAACUCUUUCAGCGCUCCAGGCAGUCUGGAGCCGGCGCUCCUGGAGAUCAGAUAGAACGGCGGCGGCGGCCGCGGUCAGGACUGCGACGGUUCUAGUCCCCUUCCCCCAACCGAGUCGCGUCUCUGCGAGGCUGAGGGGAGACUCCAGGCGGCAGCGGUGGGGCCCAGAGAGCAGGGAGCGAGGCCGCGGGGGACGCUCCUGCCUCGGUGCCUUAGACCUACUGUGUGCCAAGCCCCUUUGCGGCGAAACUCUCCCUUCCUGGGCUGUCAACGGGGCCUGCCUGGAGCGCCGGCCGGCCCUCCAGAGGGGAACAACAGGUCACCGGGGAGGUCGCCUGCGGCUCCAGCUCCCCGGGGGCCCCGACGCACCUUCAGGAAAACCCGACGCUGGGCAGCUCGCGGGCGCCGGCUGUUUUCCUGCGAGACCCAGGCGGUCGGCGGCGACUUCCGGCGCCCUCGGCCGCAGCCCAGGAUCCCUUGCGCCCUGCGGUAGCCCGGGGCUGCCCAGGGCUGCGGGCUCCAGGCACCCAGAGCGCUGCGACCACAUGAAAGGCCCGGCGCUCAGCACCCGCCAGCCACCUCCAGCUGGUUUCUAACUACACCGCCGGGGCCUCCAUGCUUCUCAGAGACCAGCCUUCGAAGUGCCGCCUUACACCCGGGGCCUGGCCACCGGGCGGGCGCGGAUGGAGCUCUGGUCCACAUUUGGGAGCUCACAGUUGUUCCUGCCAGAUGUGGAAGCUGAGACUUAAAGAAGCUAUGAAACUUGAUCAGGUCAUGCAGCGCCAGAGGACCCAAGGUGGGAUCUCAACCCAGACUGUUUGGCUCCAAAGCUGAACUGCUACAUUACGUUGCUUCAGCAAACAGUCAUUCAGAGACAAUGGGCUUUAGAGGAGUUUAGUGAUGUUACUAACAAACAUAAGUACCUUGUACUAACCUCCUGGUGCCCAAGUGUUUGAGGUGAGAAAAACUGAAACAUGAAAAGCCCAGAGAGGUAAAGUGACUGGCUCAAGGUAAGUGGUGGAGUUGGUAUUUGAACCCAGAUCCCCUGUUACUUCAGAACCUCAGCUACCGCUGUGACUUUGGGUGCAAACCUGUCUGAAGCCUGUUGGUGAAGCUCUGCCCAGCUAUGAAGAGGCACAGAUCUGCCUGCCUCCCUUGGAAGGCUCAGACUCUUUUUCUGGAAGGCCUACCUUCUCAUCCUUUGGCAGUUGGGGGAACUGAAGCACAGUGAGGGAGAUAAGCGUGCCAUACAAUGAGAGGACAGAGCUCAGCGCUCUUCACUCAUGUGCCUGUGGGAAAGAGCCAGUUCUAGGGGUGGGGAUCGCGAAGGAGCACCCUACUUCCCUGUCCUUGUCACGUCCCAUGGCCAGUAGCCAUGUACUUUUUCCUCCUUUUUCUCUUGCCCAGCAAAUACAGGCUCCAGCUGCAGCCACUUUGAAGAUAAAGUUUCCUCCAUAGAAAUUCUGCAAUACAGAUGUCCUUCCGCGGUCCCAGUUCAGUCCUGCACCAGUUCCUUUUCCCACUGGGAAAUUUCUUUCCUCUUCCUACUUCCAUGCAACUGCGAGGCAAGGCUCAAGCCCACUUCCUUCUCCUUUUCCUGUGCCUCCCUGUGGAGGGAGCUCCCUCUUCUUCACAGCUCCAGGCUCUUCCCUACUCUGGCCCAACCUUAUGGGCAUUUUGCUCCAUAACUCUCCUCGAUCUGAACUGCUUCUGAUUUCUCUCAAGUCAUGUCGGGGAAUCUCACAAAUGCAUUCUGAGAAAUACAAGAAUGCCUGAGAUGUUCCCGGCAGAAAAGAUUCCAGGAUCAAAACAUUUGGGAAAAGCUUCACAUCUCUCCUUAGAAAUGAACAAGGCAUAGUCAUCAAGCAUCUGAAAAGUCCUGCAGUCAGGAAACCUACCUUGUUUGUUUUUUAACCCAGUAUUUCUCAAACUAAGAUGGCCAUGAUUUCAUCUCCUCCAUCCCCACUGACUCCUAUAACAACCUGUAGAACCAGUGAUCCACUGUGGAACACACUUUGGGAAACACUGUCCCCAGCCCUCCAAGAAGGCAUAGAGUUGACCUUGCCUUCAUUGAUUUAAACCCUUCCUGUUUCUCUGGGCUAUUUACUUAUUAUCUCACAUACAAAAUAAUCUAAGGUGAUGUCUGCCCAAUUGGGUUUUUAGGAAAGACAUACCCAAUGGGAAUGAAGAUUUUCUUAGCAGGAUUUGAUGAGCCCAUUACUAGAAAAAAAAUCAAGGAUUUCCCAGACUUUCAGGGUGAGGAGAGAAUUUGAUACAAGCAGCAGAGGCUGGGCGUAGUGACCCAUGCCUAGCACUUUGGUAGGCCAAGGAGGGAGGAUUGCUUGAACCCAGGAAUCCAAGACCAGCCUGGGCAACAUAGUAAGAUCCCAUCUCAAUUUUUUAAAGAAGGAUUUAUCAAACUUGUUUCCUAGUCAACGGAUAAAGCCAGAGAGGUAAUGGCCAGAAACCCAAAAUCUAGAGAGUACCAGAUAAAUACUUUUUGGGUGAAUGAAUGAAUGAGCAGGCUAUUGAUCACAAAGUUGGCAGACAUUGUGAAUGAAUGGAUGAAUUAAUAAACAAUCAAAUAACUGGUCUCCAGGCCUCCAGACUUUCUGAACUUCAUUGUAUCUACCUGCUGUGGCCACAUAUAUAUCUCCUCAAAACCCAGAUCUCAUCAGUCCACUCUUCUGUUCCCUGGCUGGCUCCCUGUUGCCUUCAGGAUAAAGUCUACAUGCCUUUGUCCUGGCAUUGAAAACUCUGCAAAACAAAGCUCCAACCUAGCUUUCCAUCCUUCUUUCUCUUCCCCAUUGGGUACCCCUUACUCUAGUCACACCAGUCCCCAAUUCACUUUAUCCGUCUCCUUUUCUUUCUCAAGCUAUUCUCUAUACCUCACCUUUUCUCCCCUGCCUCCAUUGUUGCUUAUUCAACCCUAGCAGUGCUUUCAGGCUCAGCUCAAACCUUAUCACCCAUGUUAAAUGAAAGAAGCCAGACACAAGAAGGGGACAUUCUGAAUGAUUCCAUUUAUAUGAAGGUUAAGAACAGGCAAAACUAUUGUGGGGAAAAAACAGAACUGUGGUUGCCUUUGGGGAGUGAGGAUUGAUUAGAAGGGGUUUUGGGGGUAUGAAAAUGUUCUUGAUCUUCAUUCCAGUGGUAAUUUCAUGGGUGAAUACAUUUGCCAAAAUUCACUGAAUUGUACACUAAAGAUCUGCAUUUCUCUGUAUUGUCAAUUUAAUCUAAAAAUAAAAAUCUUACCACCCAGAUCUCCCUGGCAAGAAUU
rnacentral:lncRNA from 10 species